UGGCAGUGUGAGGUAACCAUUCUCGGUGA
rnacentral:piRNA from 1 species